AAUCAACGCUGGCGGCGUGCCUAACACAUGCAAGUCGAACGCGAAAGUCCCGCAAGGGAUUAGUAGAGUGGCAAACGGGUGAGUAACGCGUGGGUGACCUGCCUUCGAGCGGGGGAUAACGUCCCGAAAGGGACGCUAAUACCGCAUAACAUCCUGCCUUUUAAGAGGUGGUGAUCAAAGCCGGGGAUUCGCAAGAACCUGGCACUUGAAGAGGGGCCCGCGCCUGAUUAGCUAGUUGGGGGGUAAUGGCCUACCAAGGCAACGAUCAGUAUCCGGCCUGAGAGGGCGGACGGACACACUGGGACUGAGACACGGCCCAGACUCCUACGGGAGGCAGCAGUGGGGAAUUGUUCGCAAUGGGCGCAAG
rnacentral:rRNA from 1 species